CCUACGGGGGGCUGCAGUGGGGAAUAUUGGACAAUGGGGGGAACCCUGAUCCAGCCAUGCCGCGUGUGUGAAGAAGGCCCUCGGGUUGUAAAGCACUUUCAGUGAGGAAGAACGCCUGGUGGUUAAUACCCAUCAGGAAAGACAUCACUCACAGAAGAAGCACCGGCUAACUCCGUGCCAGCAGCCGCGGUAAUACGGAGGGUGCGAGCGUUAAUCGGAAUUACUGGGCGUAAAGCGCGCGUAGGUGGCUUGAUAAGCCGGUUGUGAAAGCCCCGGGCUCAACCUGGGAACGGCAUCCGGAACUGUCAAGCUAGAGUGCAGGAGAGGAAGGUAGAACUCCCGGUGUAGCGGUGAAAUGCGUAGAGAUCGGGAGGAAUACCAGUGGCGAAGGCGGCCUUCUGGACUGACACUGACACUGAGGUGCGAAAGCGUGGGUAGCAAACAGGAUUAGAUACCCCUGUAGUC
rnacentral:rRNA from 1 species